UGGGGAAUAUUGCACAAUGGGCGCAAGCCUGAUGCAGCGACGCCGCGUGGGGGAUGACGGCCUUCGGGUUGUAAACUCCUUUCGCCCACGACGAAGCCCCUCGGGGUGACGGUAGUGGGAUAAGAAGCACCGGCUAACUACGUGCCAGCAGCCGCGGUAAUACGUAGGGUGCGAGCGUUGUCCGGAAUUACUGGGCGUAAAGAGCUCGUAGGUGGUUUGUCGCGUCGUCUGUGAAAGUCCAGCGCUUAACGCUGGGAUUGCAGGCGAUACGGGCUUACUUGAGUGCUGUAGGGGAGACUGGAAUUCCUGGUGUAGCGGUGAAAUGCGCAGAUAUCAGGAGGAACACCAAUGGCGAAGGCAGGUCUCUGGGCAGUCACUGACACUGAGGAGCGAAAGCAUGGGUAGCCAACAGG
rnacentral:rRNA from 2 species